rnacentral:rRNA from 1 species
GACGAACGCUGGCGGCGUGCUUAACACAUGCAAGUCGAACGGGAAGGCCCUGCUUUUGUGGGGUGCUCGAGUGGCGAACGGGUGAGUAACACGUGAGUAACCUGCCCUUGACUUUGGGAUAACUUCAGGAAACUGGGGCUAAUACCGGAUAGGAGCUCCUGCUGCAUGGUGGGGGUUGGAAAGUUUAGGCGGUUGGGGGUGGACACGCGGCUCAUCAGCAUGUUGGUGGGGUAGUGGCUUACCAAGGCUUUGCCCGGUAGCAGGGCUGGUAGGGUAACAUGCUCAGUUGGAACUGGAAUGCGGCCCAGCCUCCACCGGGAGGCAGCGGUGGAGAAUAGUAUAUAGGGCACGGAGGCCAGGUGCAGCCACGCCGCGUGGGGGAUGACGGCCAGCGGUUAGUGAUCCGCAUUCGCCUGUGACGAGGCGUGAGUGACGGUAAUGGGUGAAGAAGCUCCGGCUAACUACGUG